GAUGAACGCUGGCGGCGUGCCUAAUACAUGCAAGUCGAGCGAACAGACGAGGAGCUUGCUCCUCUGACGUUAGCGGCGGACGGGUGAGUAACACGUGGAUAACCUACCUAUAAGACUGGGAUAACUUCGGGAAACCGGAGCUAAUACCGGAUAAUAUAUUGAACCGCAUGGUUCAAUAGUGAAAGACGGUUUUGCUGUCACUUAUAGAUGGAUCCGCGCCGCAUUAGCUAGUUGGUAAGGUAACGGCUUACCAAGGCAACGAUGCGUAGCCGACCUGAGAGGGUGAGCGGCCCAAAUGGAACUGAAACCGGGCCCAGACCCCCAGGGGGGGCAGCAGGGGGGAAUUUUCCGAAAUGGGGGAAAGCCUGAGGGAGCAACGCCGGGGGGGUGAUGAAGGUUUUCGGAUUGAAAAACUUUUUUUUUGGGGAAGAAAAAAUGUGAAAGUAACUAUGCACGUUUUGACGGUACCUAAGCAGAAAGCCACGGCUAACUACGU
rnacentral:rRNA from 1 species